GACGAACGCUGGCGGCGUGCUUAACACAUGCAAGUCGAACGGAAAGGCCUGCUUUCCCUUGUGGAUUUCGUGUACUCGGGUGGCGAACGGGUGAGUAACACGUGAGUGAUUUGCCCCCAACUUGGGUAUAAGCCCGGGAAACUGUGUCUAAUUCUCGUUAGGACUGCAGGGUGGUGCCUGUGGUGGAAAACGUUCUUCUAGUGGUGGGGGAUGCGCUCGUGGCCUAUCAGGUUGUUGGUGGGGUAAUGGCCCACCAAGGCGGCGACGCGAAGUCGGCCUGAGAGGGGGGACGGUGACAUUGGGACAGGGACACGGCCCAGACGGCAGGGGGCGGCAGCGGAGGGGAAGAAAGGGCAGAGAGCGGGAGGCUGCAGCAGCGACGCAGCGUGGGGGAUGACGGGAUUGGGGUUGUAAGCUCCUUGGGAACGCGAGGAAGCCACCUGGUUGGAAGGGUGGUGACGGUAGUGGAAGAAGAAGCACCGGCUAACUACGUG
rnacentral:rRNA from 1 species